AGACCUGGAUUGUCGAGUACUUUCUUCACUAUGAUGCCUUUGUGAACAGAUUCCGAAGCUCUCAUCAUUUAACUACGGAUAAAUAAAAGAUUCUUGAUGCUAAGUACAGACUGCAAUAAGGCCAAGUUCUUGUGGUUGUGGUGCACCUGCCUUUGAUUGGAGUGGAUGCGGGAAACAACAUAGACUACAAUUUGAAACCAGUAUUCUUUUUCUGAAGUUAAAAAAAAAAUGAAUAUGCACAUUGAAAAAAAAUCCUAUUUGUGUGAAUAUUGCAAAAAAAUUUUUAGUUGUGCUUCAAAGCUGAAAAUACAUCUGAGGAUACACACUAAUGAAAAACCACAUUCUUGUUGAAGCAACUGAAUCACACCUCACUAUUUGGCUUGGCCGAGACUGCGGCGAAGUGGCCAAGGCUUACUCCAUCUCUACUUUUAGUUUUGUGUUCUGUAAAAUGAUUUUUUUUUAUGAGUCAGAUUUGAUAAAACAGACAACACACUAAAAAAAGAAUAAAAAAUA